UACGUAGGGGGCGAGCGUUACCCGGAUUUACUGGGCGUAAAGGGGGCGUAGGCGGCCGUGAAAGUCCGAUGUGAAAACUCACGGCUCAACCGUGGGACUGCGCUGGAAACUACACGGCUUGAGGACGGUAGAGGGAGACGGAACUGCUGGUGUAGGGGUGAAAUCCGUAGAUAUCAGCAGGAACGCCGGUGGGGAAGCCGGUCUCCUGGGCCGUUCCUGACGCUGAGGCCCGAAAGCUAGGGGAGCAAACCGG
rnacentral:rRNA from 1 species